rnacentral:rRNA from 1 species
AUUGAACGCUGGCGGCAGGCCUAACACAUGCAAGUCGAGCGAGAGGCGGACGGGUGAGCUAUGUCUCGGAAAGGGCCUGGUGGAGGAGGAUCGCAAAUGGAAACGGUAGCUAAUUCCGCAUACCAUCAGCUGGGCCCAGAUGGGAUUAGCUAGUAGGUGGGGUAAUGGCUCACCAAGGCGACGAUCCCUACCUGGUCUGAGAGGAUGACCAGCCACACUGGAACUGAGACACGGUCCAGACUCCUACGGGAGGCAGCAGUGGGGAAUAUUGCACAAUGGGCGCAAGCCUGAUGCAGCCAUGCCGCGUGUGUGAAGAAGGCCUUCGGAUUGUAAAGCACUUUCAGUUGGGAGGCGUUACUCGCAGAAGAAGCACCGGCUAACUCCGUGCCAGCAGCCGCGGUAAUUC